AGUGAACGCUGGCGGCGUGCCUAAUACAUGCAAGUCGAGCGGACGGACGAUGAGCGUUCGCCUCUGCCGGUGGCGGGUGGCGGGUGAGUGACGCGUGGAUCACCUUCUUCUAAUUCGGGGGGGACUUCGUAGGACCAGUUAUGCUACCAGCGAAUAUGUUGUACCGCAUAAAUCAGUAGUUAUACACGCUUUUCGCGUCACAUAUAGACGAUGCCGCGCCGCAUUAGCUAGUUGGUAAGGUAACGGCUUACCAAGGCAACGAUGCGUAGCCGACCUGAGAGGGUGAUCGGCCACACUGGAACUGAGACACGGUCCAGACUCCUACGGGAGGCAGCAGUGGGGAAUCUUGCGCAAUGGGCGGAAGCCUGAUGGAGCAACGCCGCGUGAGUGAUGAAGGUCUUCGGAUCGUAAAACUCUGUUAUUAGGGAAGAAAAACUGUGUAAGUAAAUCCGGCCGUCCUGACGGUACCCAAAGAGAAAGCACCGGCUAACUACGUG
rnacentral:rRNA from 1 species